rnacentral:rRNA from 1 species
GAUGAACGCUGGCGGCGUGCCUAAUACAUGCAAGUCGAGCGAACAGACGAGGAGCUUGCUCCCCUGACGUUAGCGGCGGACGGGUGAGUAACACGUGGAUAACCUACCUAUAAGACUGGGAUAACUUCGGGAAACCGGAGCUAAUACCGGAUAAUAUAUUGAACCGCAUGGUUCAAUAGUGAAAGACGGUUUUGCUGUCACUUAUAGAUGGAUCCGCGACGCAUUAGCUAGUUGGUAAGGUAACGGCUUACCAAGGCAACGAUGCGUAGCCGACCUGAGAGGGUGAUCGGCCACACUGGAACUGAGACACGGUCCAGACUCCUACGGGAGGCAGCAGUAGGGAAUCUUCCGCAAUGGGCGAAAGCCUGACGGAGCAACGCCGCGUGAGUGAUGAAGGUCUUCGGAUCGUAAAACUCUGUUAUUAGGGAAGAACAAAUGUGUAAGUAACUAUGCACGUCUUGACGGUACCUAAUCAGAAAGCCACGGCUAACUACGUG